UUAAUUAACUUCGGCCCAUAAGAUGGAAAUUUGACUGAAUUCAGUAGACAGGCCCAUUUAGUGGCCCAUUGAUGGUGGAAACCCUAGCUAUAAAUAGAAGAGACUCUCUCUCUUCAUUUAUCAUUUCUCUUUUCUUUCUAGAGAAAUCGGCGAAUCUGUAACUAAGUACCAACAACAACAAUGAGAGCCAAGGUAACAUCUUCGUCUUCUCCGAUUCAAUAUUGUUCUUUGUGUUUGAACUCACUAGCGUUAGAUUCAUCGAUUAGAUUAUCUAAGACGCAUUCAUUUAUGGAUACAUAUGAUAUACGUACGUAUAGAGAAAGGUAUAGAUAGAGUUAUAUACUAUAUUGCCUGUGUUAUACGUCUUUAGUAAAGCCGUACAAGAAGAUCUUAGGAUUGUGUUUUUGAUAUUAGAACUAUUAAGAAUUGAUAAUCGAUUUUGCAUCACAUUGCGUCCAAAAGAUAUUUUUGUUCAUAUUUUACAUGUUAAAUUUGGUGUAUUGAGAUUUUGCAAAGGUUAAUCUUGAUUGGAACGAUCUCUGUGCCAUAAAACCCAUUACAGUUUCUUGAAACCGUAGUUCUUAUAGGUUGGGUUAGGUUAGGUUGUAAUAAUCUCUCCAUUUAUUAUGUCCUGUUUCUUUCAUUCUGUGUAUUGUUGUUAUUCAGUAAUAAUGACGACAUUGGUUAUGGUUUUUGGAUAUUAUUGCAGUGGAAGAAGAAGCGUAUGAGGAGAUUGAAGAGGAAGCGUCGAAAGAUGAGACAGCGAUCCAAGUAGAGACCACCAACAACCAAGUUCCUCCCCCUAAUAACUCUCUCGGCUCUCUGUGAUUCUGUUUUGUCUUGAGACUUUCUUUUUAGCAAACAAACCUUUUUCUUUUUAGUAUCGAGUUUUGAACAUUCUGGGAUGUAUGUAAAACUUGCGUUUGUGCUCUUAUCUAUAAUCAAUCACAGAUCCUUUUAUCUUAUCAUCACUGUUUUCAGUAUGGGUGAAGCUUAUUUUUGACUAAUUGUUCAGACAACAAACAAUCUUUUGUUCUGUCAUGAAACUAGAG
rnacentral:lncRNA from 1 species